rnacentral:rRNA from 1 species
GACGAACGCUGGCGGCGUGCUUAACACAUGCAAGUCGAGCGGUAAGGCCCUUUCGGGGGUACGACGAGCGGCGAACGGGUGAGUAACACGUGGGUGACCUGCCCUCAGCUCUGGGAUAAGCCUGGGAAACCGGGUCUAAUACUGGAUAUGACUCCAUGACGCAUGUUGUGGGGUGGAAAGCCUUGUGCGGCUGAGGAUGGGCCCGCGGCCUAUCAGCUUGUUGGUGGGGUGANGGCCUACCAAGGCGACGACGGGUAGCCGGCCUGAGAGGGCGACCGGCCAC